rnacentral:misc_RNA from 1 species
AGAGUGAUGAGGAACGAGAUAGAAUGUUGCUUCAGCUGGAACAGGAUUGCUUGGAUGUUUACAAGAGGAAAGUUGAUCAAGCUACAAAAUCUAGAGCACUUCUUCUCCAGGAGUUAGCUGAUUCAAAAUACGAGCUUACUAGACUUCUUUCUGCACUUGGUGAAAAGACUUACAUUGGCAUUCCUGAGAAUCCUUCUGGAACGAUCAAGGAACAACUUGCAGCUAUA